rnacentral:tRNA from 1 species
UAUUAAACAGUAUUCGCGUACAAAGAAUUUUGAAUUCUUAAGAAGGACAUUCACCUUUUAAUAA